AGCUAGUGGGGGCAAAGUUUCAGUGCAUUCCGUUGAUGUAGACGGCGUGAAAACGGAAACAACAAGUAUGCCGGCUCACUGUACUGCAUACAGUUACACACUGCGUCGUACGAUUGAGACAAGGAAACUUGGAAUGACUUUUCAUAGGUCCCUCUCUAUCUCCCCACACAUUCACCAACCACUGGAACACAUCUCCAAAGUUCUGCCGGGCCAGCUCAGCUUCCCCUCAGAAGAAGUGGCGCCACCUGCCAGAUGAAGGAGCCUUUUGAGAGGCAGCUGGCAUCGUGAUUGGACUGUACUUUGGUCUGUUCCAAUCCACCUUCAGCUCCAGAGACGGCAGGCGGGACGAGUCAACGGAGGCCUGGUGGACGAAGGCAUGCAGCUGAGUACAAUCCAGAAAACAACAGAGGAGGAGUGCAGGGCCAGAACAACCAGAGUAGCAUCUUAUGUCUCUUAGAAAACAUCAUAGUAUAGCCUUUGGUAUGAAAAAACGCCAUCAUAUACAUCGAAUAUUGUACAAAUAACAAGUCAAAGGAAAGAGACAUACAUUGUAGGAUUGUAGUAAUUGUGGGCUGACUGAUUUACUGAUUAUCAGAAUUUUAUUUUUUACUGAUUUAUGGUAAUAAAUAUAUUUAAAAAUGGUGCUACUUUGGCUCUGAACCUUUAUCUACC
ensembl:lncRNA